GGGUGGAGAUUAACGGCUGGCGGAGGAGUUGGAGCAGUGGGUGGAAAAGAAGCAAUGGGGAACACGAGGAGACUUCGCUUGCCAAUGGGAUCUGUCUUCUAGUCUGGUUUGCCACAACCAACAAAGUUUAAGCUCAACUUCAGCACAUUCUGAGCCAGAAAAUGAAGACCAGACAGUUGAAUGGGAAAAUGAAAAGGAGUGUGAACUAUCCUAAGGGAGACAAGAAAAAAUGAGGCAGAGGAAGUGCCUUCGAACAACGAGCAAGGAAAGAAAGAAAAAAAAUGAGAAUACCACCUCAACAGUCCAGAAAUGCCUGGCAUUUGUGAGACCUCGGGUUUAAUUCCCAGUACUGGAGAAGUUUAAAUUAAAAUAUGUAUGUAC
rnacentral:lncRNA from 1 species